GCCGCCGCCCCUCGCCCUGCCUGCCUCAUGACCCAAACCCGCCACCCCUCUGCCUCUCCCUCGUAUUUCCUAGGGUGUGGAUGCCGUCGCCGCCCGCGCUGCAAAAUCCUUCGCUGCCAUCGUCGCCGCCGCCGCAGAAUCCUCUGCCGUCUUGCUCCUCCCGCCUCACCCCUCUCCUCUCCCUCCAAACCCUAACCCGUGCCCGCCUCCCUACCCCCCAACGUUGUCUCCUUCGCCGUCAGGAGCUCAGCCCGGGAUGGCUGCCGCAGGGUUCCUGGCGGGCUUCCUCCUCGGCCUGCUCGCGCUCGCGGAGGCCGAGGCGGCCGCGCUGCUCUGGGUCACCUGCCGCCUCUACCACCGGCAGGAGGGGGCCGCGGCAGCCGCCGCGCAACCCGGCGACCAGGAGCUCCCCGGCAUGGUUCCCACGACGGAGGGGAAGCUAGAGGCAGAGAACCGUCGGUCUUGCAUAUGUCAGUGACGGUCGUUGAUCAGGUUGUUGCGCGCGAAUGACAACAAUUGAUUCAUAACGAACCAACAUGUAGGACAUGCCGUUCAACCUUCUUAUAGAAGUGAACAAUCAUUUCCAGAGCAUUAUAUUAGCUGGACUUUUUAUGAGGUAUGAGCAAGUUGAGAGUUUCGAGUGGGUAUAUUUUCUGAGUUCCUAAAUAUGAUCAGUGGGCCGGCGCCAAAGUCCAUCUUGACAGGUAGGUAGAUUGAGAUAAUUUGUAUGUCUCAAGGUUGUUAUCUGGUUCAUUAGUGUGCCGAGGCUCUGUAGAUCAAAACAGAGCCAUGAAGGUUGCUAUGAGCAAACUAUGUCCAGGGAAUUGAACAACUAUAGCUCACCUUGGAUCAAAACAGAACAAUUGAUUGCAAGUGAAGUCUUGGGUAUGUUUAGCUGAAAUUUGCUGAAGUGAGCACUCGUGGGUAGUAACAGCGAAACCAUCGUGUAUUUGCCCAAGUGUUCAGUCUUUUAAAUUGUUUGGGAAAUGGUUAGAACUAAAAGAUCGCCUUCAUUUAAUAUUGAUUUUGAGAGUAAUGUUUUUAGAAACUUCAGACUAAUUCGGAGGUGAGGAGGAUGACGACGCCACUGCACCGUCGCACACCUCCAUAAGGCGAGGACCACGCAGUCGCCGGGGCGAGGAGCCUACCUCUGCGCCACUCCAUGAGGCGAGGGGCUCCCCAGAACUGCUGCUCCAUUAUGCUCCUCUCUUGAGGUAUUUGUUCUUCAGCUUGAGAAUUAUUGUUCAGCUCCUGCACAUAGUUCUCUAUUUGCUCCAUUGACAGUCAGCUUAUACAUUAGCAUAUGAAUUAGAUGAACAUGGAGCAAAGGAGUAUGCAUGGUUGUACCUUGCCCAGAAUCAUAUAUUUUCUUAGCCAUGAAUAUGUCAUCGUGAUCCUCUGUACCGGCUCUAAGAUGUACUACAAUAUGGUUACAUCUACUCCAUUCACCAUGGUGAUAAUCAAUUUAUUUUUUUCCCUUUCUAUUGUUUGAUUCUAUUGCCUUUUAAGUCAUAUAUUAGAGAUUUUAGUAGAGUCAGGUCUCUACCAGCGAAGGUCAUGGCUAAGGAAACGGGACUGGCGGAUUUCCCCCUCGUCUUGGACAAGACGCCAUGACACAGUUGUGAUGAGGUGUGGCGCAAGCGUGGCUGUAGGAUCCCUCCUAUGAAGCUAGGCAAUGACAUCAUCGGAUCCUCACUGGUACGCAGAGCUAUCGUGUGGAUCCGACAGGUGGCAGGGGCGUGUGACUAAUCAGGUACAUGGCCUUGGUUCCACAUAUAAUGUUACCAAGUUCUUAAUCUGUCAUAUUGCUUCUACUGUUCAGAUAUCUGAUGCCAUUACAGAUGGUGCUGAAGGAUCUUGUAGUAUGCAGGUAUGGAGCAAUUUCUAAAAUGGCUUGCAUGAUGUCACUUGUCAUCCUUGGCAUCUAUCUCUUUCGCACUACUACCUGCAGCUGGAGGCAUCAGGCCUAGGAAGGUGAUUCCGUACUAUUUUUCUGAAACCUCGGCUGUACUCGUGAUUUCUUAUCUCAUUAAUCUCAUGGCUACACAGGACAACUUCUGAAUAUAUUACAGUUAAUGCCUUUCUUCAUGGAGCUUUUGUGUACUAGACUAGCAUGAUUUGUUGGGAUGUGGAUUGCGGUAUGUGCAAGUUUUAGUUUCAAGUGCUGCUUGGGGGUCUACAACGAAAGCGUUGCAGGUUUUAUUUGUCAUCUAUGGUGUUUGUCUUUCAUGCGUUUCCCCCUUCUACGAUUUGAAAUAGUGAAUAAUUUAAUUACCAAAACAGUUUGGUGUUUGUGCAGCUGAUUUCUCAGCCAUGGCGUGGCUGUAUUUAGUGUGGCACUACUUUAUGCAACAUUUCAUGAUCUGUUCUUAGUUCCAGCAUGUUUUUUCACCUUUCUGUAGAGUUUUGAGUAUAACUUAAAGUUCUAGAUGCAUAUAAGCUUCUGAGCUAACUCAAGCUCACUUGAUGGUUCUAAAAAAAUUCUGCAAAAAUAUGACCAUGACAACAAGAGAAAUGGAGGUUCAGAGGCAGAGUGGAUGCCUGCACCAACAACUUUAUAAAUUAAACUACGUUUUGCUAGAUGACUCAAAUUUUUGAAUGCGAGCAUUAUGUUUUGGGAAUGCAGUUAACAAUAGAAUCAAGUAAAGCUGAAAGCAAGAGAUCUACUGCUCAAUAUGGAAUUUAAUUCCUUUCUUGCAAAAGCACUAGAUAUGAGUGAAGAGAUUAUUCAAUAUUGGAUUUAAUUCAUUUCUUGUACCCAUGGUCGAUCUAUUGUUCCAUACUGCAAGCAUUCACCCGAUCAGGUUUCUAUUCAUUUCUGUUAGAUCCGUCGAUGAAGAAAACAACACAUUUCAAGAUGUGAUGGUUUUGGUACUUCAAGUUUUGUUGUACUCUGUCAUUUGCCUUUGUGGGAACGACACUGCUCUAUUGCUUGCUUAUUUAAGAUCAUGACAAUCAUUUUAUCUAGCCUAUGUGUUUCUAAUGUUCUCCCCUUAUUGUUGCAGGUUAGAGUGCACCUUUCAGAUAACUUCUUUCUUUGGGAUAGUCUUAUCUCUACAUAUGAAUGUUAAACUGUCAAUUUUGUACUUUACUAUUCUAUAUCAAGAAAAUAAAUAAUUGCAUCAUGGUAUUA